AUGUUAAAGUAGCAUGAUCAUGACAUUAAAAAUAACUAAAAAAAUUAUUUAGAAUUUUUUGUUGAUCUCUAACAGAAAAACGAGAAAAACAGCCAGAGACACAAAAAUGCAUGGGCAUGGCUUGCUUAUCCUGCCACUCCAUGACCAAAACACUUUGAGUGUUUGCUUUUCUUCCCUCCAAUGACAACUCUCCAUCUCCACCAUCCAACACUGAUCCGAAGCCUCUUCCAGUUCCAGUUCCCACAACAACUGCAAGUACCAGAACCAAAAGCACCACUACUCUACCGUUACCGAGAAAGAAAACGAAUCCAAAACAGACGAUAACAACAGCUCAAUCUUAAGCACAUUGAAAGCGUCGUUGGUGCUGGCAGUUAUCGUGACUAUGAGAAGCCCAUUGACCAAGAGAAGAAAAGGAAGAAGUCUGGGUUCAUGGAGGAGGGAACAGUGGGAAGAAGCUCAGAGAGACUGGAGAGUGGGUUACCACCAAAACUGAUGGAGGAUUUCGUUCCAAUGGAUUGAAGUCAAUUAUGAAGGAACUCUUCCUUCAGAAUUUUGAGUUUCGUAGCAGAAAAAUCAUUUUGAGGCUACUUAGCAUGAGCUUGAAUCACAACACAGCCUUUUUUCUUGGGCACCGCACCCUGAAAGAUUAAUAUUGGUGACUUGUGGGACUGGAAGAAAUGCAAAUGCCCAUGGAAUGGUUUACUUGAAUGCUCUAAGAACUCUGGGUACCUUUGUUACUCAUAAUGGAUUGGCUUGCAAAGAUGGAACCUUCUCAAGAUUACAGUUGAAAGCUUUUUGAGUCUGCAAAAUUGUUUCUUUUUACCAUUUUCUGUUGUUAGAGAAAUGAUAGAGCAUCAUGUCUAGUAAUUAGUUUGGCAUUUAGAUAGAUGGUUUUGUAGAGUGAUACAAUAAAUAAGAAAGUAGAUUGGGAACUGGAUACUCAUUGUACAUGUUGGCCUGAACCAACAAAAUCACCCCUGGAAACUUUUGUUAGCUGAAGUGAUUAUCAACAGCCGAGUGCUUGAGCUUGCCAGUUGAAAAAUGGUGUAAGGUUUGUUGAAGAAAAUAGGUGUCGUCACCUGGAUUCAUUUUCAUUGCUUGUUCAUACUUUAUGAUCACUGGACCUGGUGUGAUCAACUUUAAGCUAGAUUCAUCAACUUCUGUUUCUCUUUCACCUUUUCAUUUCCAUUUUCACUCUUUUAGGGAUUUAACUAAAGUGCUUUCCUUGAUAAUUACACCAUGUGUUUCCCUUGCAUCUGAUCCUGUAGACCAUGGAGUCAACGGGAAAAAAAUAGUUAUAUGAAAAGCACAGCAUACUAAGAUAAAACUGUUCUUUUUAUUUUAUGUGAUCUUGCAGCAUAUGACAUUUUUCCUGGGAAACAAAUCUGUAUUAUGGUGUCUUUUUUUUCACUCAGGUUCACUAGAAGCCAAGAAUCCGCCUUCUAUUUGCUAUUGAAUCAAUAACGUGAUUGACCAGAUGCUGGUUUGCGUUAUUCUUUUGCAGUUCGAGAGUGUUACCGAGCUGUACACAAACCUUCCAACUUGUGGGGUGACACCCUUCCUCCCAGUAUAGAUAUCAAUUUGAAGGGCCAAAAAAGCUUCACUGCAGAAGAAACAGUCUUGGCUCUCCUUAGGAACAGAUGCUUACCUGGGGAAGAAUUGCUAGCCCGGCUUGGAUCUGGCACAUUAAGAAGGGUGUGAUGGCUAACUGGGAGCCUUACAUAGGAUUCCGAGAACUCCUUUAUAUCACACGUGGCUAAACUUGAUCAUGAACGUGAUUCUUGUUGCUUCCGAGAUCACUGUCCCCGGACACGAAAAAAGAUGUCAUGAUUAGCGCUUGAGUGUUGAGGCAUUAUCAUUGUCAUUAUUGAUUUUGUUUCUGAAGAAAACAUUAUUAAGAAAAGAAACCUCGUUAAGGUGAAAUUGAUUAUUUAGUGAUUAGAAAAACGUUUGCAUCUUACUUGUUCAAGCCAAUAAAAUAAAUAUAAAAGGAAUUAUUCGC